GAAGCUUGCUUCUUUGCUGACGAGUGGCGGACGGGUGAGUAAUGUCUGGGAAACUGCCUGAUGGAGGGGGAUAACUACUGGAAACGGUAGCUAAUACCGCAUAACGUCGCAAGACCAAAGAGGGGGACCUUCGGGCCUCUUGCCAUCGGAUGUGCCCAGAUGGGAUUAGCUAGUAGGUGGGGUAACGGCUCACCUAGGCGACGAUCCCUAGCUGGUCUGAGAGGAUGACCAGCCACACUGGAACUGAGACACGGUCCAGACUCCUACGGGAGGCAGCAGUGGGGAAUAUUGCACAAUGGGCGCAAGCCUGAUGCAGCCAUGCCGCGUGUAUGAAGAAGGCCUUAGGGUUGUAAAGUACUUUCAGCGGGGAGGAAGGAAGUAAAGUUAAUACCUUUGCUCAUUGACGUUACCCGCAGAAGAAGCACCGGCUAACUCCGUGCCAGCAGCCGCGGUAAUACGGAGGGUGCAAGCGUUAAUCGGAAUUACUGGGCGUAAAGCGCACGCAGGCGGUUUGUUAAGUCAGAUGUGAAAUCCCCGGGCUCAACCUGGGAACUGCAUCUGAUACUGGCAAGCUUGAGUCUCGUAGAGGGGGGUAGAAUUCCAGGUGUAGCGGUGAAAUGCGUAGAGAUCUGGAGGAAUACCGGUGGCGAAGGCGGCCCCCUGGACGAAGACUGACGCUCAGGUGCGAAAGCGUGGGG
rnacentral:rRNA from 1 species